rnacentral:rRNA from 1 species
UACGUAGGGAGCAAGCGUUGUCCGGAAUCAUUGGGCGUAAAGCGCGCGUAGGUGGCUUCGUAAGUCCGUUGUGAAAGUCAAAGGCUCAACCUUUGAAAGCCGAUGGAUACUGCGGAGCUAGAGUACGGAAGAGGCGAGUGGAAUUCCUGGUGUAGCGGUGGAAUGCGCAGAUAUCAGGAGGAACACCAAUAGCGAAGGCAGCUCGCUGGGACGUUACUGACACUGAAGCGCGAAAGCGUGGGGAGCGAACAGG